AUAAUGUAUAUUAGAUUGUAUAAGGUCUUUUUAAUUGAGAAAAUAGUGAAAAAUGCAUAACAAAAAAAUGUUUGCUCAUAAGUUUAUAUACUGGUAAUAUUUAUUGCUUUCAUAUUAUAUACACUAUGGAAGAAAAAUAAUAAAAAGUGCCUUCCACUAUUACAUUUGGAACAGAUCUGAGCAAACACUUCUGUUCACACAUUUUCUAUUGUCGUAGAAAGCAGGACAGUGUGAGAUGUCCAGAAAGCAGGGAAUACCAGCCGAAAACAUAAUACACAUUUUCUAAAUCCUUUUCUCUCGGAAAUAACUUGUAGCACAAACCUGGUGAGGUAAAUUAGAUUGCUGGAGACUCAAGUAAUAGAAGAGUGAGAUAAAAAAUGAACACUUUUAGUUUGAAACAGUAAUGUGUAACACUUUUCUGUAACUUAAAAUCUCACCGAUUUUUCACAUCUGCAGUUGUUAUUUGUUCUUUGUGAUUGUCUUUCGUUUGUUCGCAGAGUUGUCAGACUGUUAAUAUUAAGCAGUGUGUGUCCUUACAGAAAGAAGAGCAGAAACAAAAAUGGACAAAACAAUUCUACGCGUUUGAAACGCUGGCGGUAAAUGUUUCUACUGUGCCUCAAAAAACAUUUUCAGCUCAUUUUUCUGAGCGUGGCACUGAUUUGCAUCUUUUUGGCAGUGUUAAAUAGCAUUAAAAACGGUUUCAGACCUGUUCUGGGAAGAAACAAAAUGUAAAAUCACACAAAACAACAUGCAAAAGGACAAACACAAGUCAGAGGUUAGAUGAAAACUGUUAUAUAAAUUUGUCCUUUUAUAUAAAUGAGAAAAUAGAUACCUUUUACGUUUUUAAGAGAAUAUUUGUCCAUGCAAAGUUAUAGUAAACCCCCUGAGACAUGACCUUGGUCUGUGGCGAUUCUGGUUACAAGAGUUGAUUACCGUACCUAAAUGAAAUUCUAGGUUUUACUAUCCCACCCCCUGACAAUAAAAUGGUUUCUCUCAGUCUCACAUUUCACCUUCUAGACUGGAAUGAUUUACGUACAGACCUGGGUGUCUCAAGAAGCUGAACAGGAGUAACACCAUAAAUGCCAACAAAUAAACUAGGCCAUGAUAACUGGAACGGUAUGCAAAGGUGUUUCACUGUCAGCAGAUGGGCGCGAUCUCCGUGGCACACUUUGGAAGAAAUGACCAACCACGGGAAUUAAAAGCUCUUGAUAAUGCCAAAUAUUUGCAGACGGACUGAGAGAUAUGGAAGAUGGAUUCGUUUCUGCACUGAGUUUAUUGGAUCAAAGGGGCAGCAGUCUGAAAUAACAGUUAGGGCUCUGGACUUGCAGUUGGGAAGAUGUGGAGUCCCAAGUGGCACUCAGCUGUUGUAUCCUUGAACAAUGCACUUCACCAGAAACGCUACAGUAAAAUAGAUAAGUAUUUAGAAGUCACUUUGAAAGAAAAAUUAGUAGAUUUGUUGGCAGUUCUGAAGCUGUGAUGAGCAGUUACCCAUCUGGUCCUUCUCGAGACCCACAGGCCAGAAGCAUACAUUAGGGAAGGUGGGGUUUGGAGAGAACAGCACAAGAGGGUCUCAUUGCCCAGCUGAGUGUCGGCUCCCACAGCCCCCAUCUCUACCCCCUCCACCUUCUUGCCUUUCGUCUGCACAGAGAGAGGAAACGGACGAAGGAUUUACUGUUGGGUCCUGACUUGUAUGCAUUCCUGGUGUUGUUUUUCUCUGUUUUGGCCCCUCAGCCAUACAAAAGGCCUCUAAAACAACAGCCAGAGAGGUUGUGACAGCUGGCUUCAGACAGCUUCUAUGGUAGCUUUACAGUAAAUUUCCAAGCCAUGGGACAUUGUCACUGGAGAAGGUGGGUGUGGUGUAGUUGGUGUCACGAUGAAAUGCAUUGGUUUAUUUAGCCAAAGUCAGUAACAAAAUCUUUUUUUCUAAUCUUUUCUUCUGGAGAAGGAUCAUAUGAGAAAGUUGAAAUAUAGGGACUAAAGUUAAUGAGGGCUGCUGUGAAUCUGUCUAUACAGUGUACUGUAGAUGGACACGCUCGCAGUUCCAGGUGGAGCUCUGGCUUUGAAGAGCCGCUCAGCUGCUUGUGGAGUUUCUAGCCGUCCAGGUGUGUGAGGGGUGGACCAGCCACCUGAAAGAGCUUUUUGUCUGGACGCUGUCAACCAAGGGAAGAGCAUUGAUCUCAGACUCCCACCAUCCACCAGCCAUGAAAGCUUAGAUCUGUAAGCUGGGAGCGACAGUCAAAGCCCUCUCAAAGAAGGAGGGGGGUUUUAGGCACUAAUAGGAUAAUUGGUAGCACUCCACAGGUGCUCUGUUUACGAAUGAGGUCACAGCUCAAGUGUGGCUCUCUAUGGGAAUAAGGAGAUCAAAAUUCCUUUUGCUUGGAGACACCCGCACGCACACACUCUGAUCCUCAGUGUACACACACCUGCCAAAAAAAAAAAAAACAGACACUGACGUGUACAGUCUCUCAUGGUAAUGUGUCACUCUUUAGGGCAAAGAAAAUAUUUUAAAAAUGAAAAAGAAACGAGAAUGAGACAAAAGUUUUCUAAUUACACAAACUAAUUAUACAGGCCUGUGCUCACUUCUAACCAUACACACACUCCUAAAAGGCAAAUUACUAGUUCUCUCUAAAACAAAAGCAAUUCUAGUUCCAUUUGUACUAUAGUAAAUUACAAUUUAACUGUUCUCACAUUUUACAGAUAUCAAUCAAUAUCAUCAGACAGCUGUUGCUAUUGUGAGGCCAAAGAAAACUUAAUUUGAUAUGACUCAGUUAAAGAUCAGUAAAAGGGUAAAACAGAGGAAAAUAUGUUUCUUGUAGGUCACAUGAUAGUGGCAGUAGUCUAUAUAAGAAAAUAAAUGACAGUGUUGCACUUAAUUAAAAAGAAAAGCUAUAUCAGUGAAAUAUAAUAAAUAACAUAAUACUCUAUUCAAUUUACAGAAUAUAUGCAAUAUUAUGAGAUCUUACUGUUACAUAGACCGCAAUUAUAUUUUAAUAAAGACUAAAGUUUCCCUCAAACAGAAAACGAUGAGAAUUCCAGAUUGUAAAUACAGUAAAUACAGUAAAUAUUGUAUGCUGUUGAAGCAGAGGAGAGAGCAGUUGUCAUUGUUGGAUCGUAAUGUGCCUUUAUUUUUACUGGAGCAUGCAGACACCCACAGCUGGAUUGUGGGGUUGAUGUCUGUAUCCUAUGUUGGAAAACGAAUGGAAAACAAUAUUAAUUUAAUA